GAUGAACGCUGGCGGCGUGCCUAACACAUGCAAGUCGAGCGAACGGACGAGAAGCUUGCUUCUCUGAUGUUAGCGGCGGACGGGUGAGUAAGACGUGGAUAACAUACCUAUAAGACUGGGAUAAUUUCGGGAAACAGGAGCUAAUACCGGAUGAUACUUUGAACCGCAGGGUUCAAAAGUGAAAGACGGUCUUGCUGUCACAUAUAGAUGGAUCCGCGCUGCAUUAGCUAGUUGGUAAGGUAACGGCUUACCAAGGCAACGAUGCAUAGCCGACCUGAGAGGGUGAUCGGCCACACUGGAACUGAGACACGGUCCAGACUCCUACGGGAGGCAGCAGUAGGGAAUCUUCCACAAUGGGCGAAAGCCUGACGGAGCAACACCGCGUGAGUGAUGAAGGCCUUCGGAUCGUAAAACUCUGUUAUUAGGGAAGAACAUAUGUGUAAUUAUCUGUGCACAUCUUGACGGCACCUAAUCAGAAAGCCACGGCUAACUACGUG
rnacentral:rRNA from 1 species